CGCGGGGCCCGCCACCGCUCCUGCUGCUCCUGCUGCUGCUCCUGCUGCUGCCCGCGGCUCCCGGGACCUGGGGCCAGGUGCCCGCCCCGGCCCGCCGCGCGCCCCUCUCCGGCACGGGGCUCCGUAGGCCCGCGCCCCUCGCUCCCGGCCACGCGAUACGGCGGGAACGCUCCGGCCGGGUCCCCCGAGGCGUGAGCGCCGCUUCCAGGUGACGAUGUGACAAAAUGAAAGUAAAAAUAGUGGAAAGUGCUUUGAACAAAGUCAGCACCGUGGUGGUGUUAGCCCGUGGCUUCCUGUGAGUGACUCAGGACGUGCACUCUCAGGGACAUCCUGGAGAGAAGAGACCCGGCUGCUACUACAUGACACUGAUUUAGAGUUUAGAUGAAGGUUGAGAAGAUUCAAUUGAGUUAUAACUUCAAUUGAGUUGUAUUUCUCUUAUGUCAUAUUUUUUUCCUGGUAUUUGAGUCAGUGUGCUUGAUCCAGCCUAGGGGUGUUUCCUAGAAUAAAAUAAGAAAGUGUUUUCCCCACCAGUAAAACCUCAACUCCAUAUUCAGCAAUCCUCCCAUCAUUUCAAACUGCCUUGUCUUUGUGAAUUUCUAAGCCACUGGCCUAAUUUUGAGAAACUAAGGAACAGUAUGAAAGGAAGAGGAGAAAGAAGCUUCAAAAAUUCAGCAGGAGAUGGAUCCUGGAGUGACUGAUUUUAGAUUUCAUACAACAUUGUUUUGUUACUUUCUGUGGGAGGAAUCAAGAACAUGAAAGAACAUUUCCUGACUUUUUUGUAGUAGAAAAGUAACGAAGGAACACUGUAUGGUGUUUGGUGACAUUUCGUCGGGUACACACAGGUGUCUCCGGCUGGUACUCAGGCAGUGUUAGCUGACGGCCUGAUCUGGUUAUGGGAUGGGUGGGAGAGUGCUGACUUGGGGGCCCUGGUUGGAGGAGGCUGGAUCACGAGUCUCCUUCCUUCCCUUGCUGGGAAUCCCCGCAGAUCCUAAGGAGGUGGCUGUUAAAGAGGGAGGGACCUAUGUUAUGGGAAAAUAAGGUAAAUAACUGAGAUUUUCCUCAUGGGCACAGUAGGUAAUGCUGCUGGUCUUGGCUCCACAACCUUCUGCUUGAUUCAUUUGGGGAGGUGAAUGUGAUGGAAGGUUCAGGUAUCUGAGAUGGCUGAAGACCCUGCAAGACCUGUACUUGUUUUGGGCAGUAGCUCAAACAGUGUCCCUUAGGGAGAACAAAGAAAUAACAAGCAAAAAAAAAAAAAAAAACCAAGCAUGAGGUGACUCUGAGCCCAAGUUUUCUAAUUACCCAAGGACUUCCUCGGCCAGUUUGGAUCGGCUACCAUGCCUCACUAGGUACCAGUGCUUAUUUCACAAGCACCAUAGUCUCAAGGCUGAAAGGGCCUCCAGGGUGCUGGCCUCUCCAGCGCCCUGAUAGGUGCUCACCCAGGCUCUAUCCAUGUGCUCGAGUUCAGGAGGGGGUGCUCCUGCUGCACAAAUAGUGCGCUUUGUCUGAGAGCUGGGAAAACUGCCCACAGCCUCUCCCUGCUGUGGGAUGCCAGAGGUCAAUGCCUGGCCCUUGUGGCUUGAGCUUCCAGACCACCAUUUCAACAGCAAGGACCAGAGAUGACCUUUUCCUCCCAGUGGGCUAUGUCUAGCCCCUUUUCUCCUCCUGGCAGAGUUCAAGGUUCUCAUUGUUGGCUAACUGCAUUCUAUAUGUAGGUUGUUUGCCUGGGUUGGAGUCUCUAAGCCCAUGGAGAACAGUCUGCUGCUUGUAUAGCCAUUGUUAGGCUUUUGCACCCACCUGUCACUCUGCUAGCUGUUCAGCUGCCAUUUAUUGCUAGUGUUUCAGUCAGUAGUGGGAAGUAGGCUGACAACUAGAGAUUUCCUUUUUCUAUGUGGUUUCCUACUACUCGGGGCUUCCGAGCCACAGUUCUAAGCUGAGUACUAAAUUUAUAUGCUUUGAUUUUUUUUUCGGUCCACAGGCCAUGCUUUAAUUAUGAGAUCUGCAGACCAGAAGUGGGUGUGGGUGUGUGUGUGUGUGAAAUCAUAAUAAAAAUCCAUGCAGAAAGGAAAGAACUUUCCCAUCCAAAGGGGAAAUGAAGCUGAGUAGCUGAGCAGCCAGCCCAAGGAAUAAUAAUCUUACAAAAAUGCAACUCCCUAGAGUAAAGGAAGCGCUUGCUUUGAGCCCAGCCCCUUCUGAGCUGUUAAAUAGCUGUCGCCUGAACUGCUCUAACUUUGUAGGCCAACUUCGUCAUUUUGCUUGGCUGCUACCAGAGCCCUACAAGGUGCAGUGAAGGCCCAUGCUGGGCAAGAGGCAGCCCCUCGGGGAAGGGAGAGUAGCUUUCCCCAGGAAUGUAGCCCUCUCCUGGAUGGCUGCUUACUUUGAUGGAAGGUGUCGUCCCAAGUGGAAGGCUGGUGGAGGAGAAAGGACUCUAUGGGCAUGUGUGUUUAAAAGCACAUCCCAGUCUUGGUGCAGGCCUGUAAUCUCAGCUAUUGUGGAGUCUUGAGACAGGAUUCCAAGUUCGAGGUCAGUCUAAGUAACUUAGCAAGAUCCUGUCUCAAAAUAAAAAGGCUUGGGGAUGUAGUUCAGUAGCAGAAUGCUUCCUGGGUUUGAUCCCCAGCAGUGCAGAAAAAAAAAGCCACAUCCUUUUAACUUUGCAGUAACCUGUUUAUUGCUUUCUUCUACAUGUGUGCAGAUGCUGAACCUAUAUUUCUAUCCUGGGCUGACUGGUGUGAGCAGAGGGAGACAACAGUGUUCCCUGCCAGCUGGGGCAGGAGCUCCCUGCCCUCGCAGUAAUCCCUCUGCUUUCCAGCAGCCUGCCCAGCUGGCUGAGAAAGUGACCUGGAGUUAAUUUGUCCUUGUCCAGAGACACUGAGAAAGAAAGCAGAGAACAGAUGGCAAUUGUGGUUUUGUUUGGUCCUUACUGCCAUCUUCAGUGGCUUCCCUCUGUCGCCGUGUCCUUUUUGUUAUGAACAGGAGGUCUUGGCUACAAUGAAUGCCUCUUUCUUCAAAGAAUCCCAGGGAGGAAGAGGGAAGAAGGCCAAGCCUGGUCCUUCUUUCUACUCCUUAGCCUUUGAGUGCCUGUGUGUAGUUGGUGCUUUCACAUUUCUUUACCCAUUUCACCCACAAACAAUCUUUUGAGCAUUAUUGUUUCUACCUUCCAAUUGUGGAAAAUGAAGCCUGGCAAGGUUAGGCCGGCCACACAGGAAACGGAAGAGGCAUUUGAAAUGAAUUUUGACCAAAUCCAUUUGCUCCUUCCACAAUACCACAAAGUCUUCUCAUCCUUAGAAUGGUGUAGCAGUGGUUGUAGAUCUCUGCGGUCCUGUCCAGCUUAUCAGUCUUCUUCCUCGCUUCCUCAGUUCUUUCCUCUUGCCUCUUUUUAGAGAUUGGGGGCCAUGAUUGGGAGAAGGUGGAAGGUAAUUGGGACAAGCUGUAGAGAAAUUUAAAUUUUUUUAAUUGCCCAAGUUAAAACAUCAGGUCUUUUUACAUGUAUAAGAUGGCGUUUUUUACAGAUUGUGAUUUUAUGCUCCACUUACAUGUUAGUCCAUAGGUUAUGGAUGCCAUAGAUAGCUCCAUUAAUUAUGAUCCAAACUGAAAUGAAUUGUGGACUUUCUUAGUGGGCUCUCUUUCUGGGAACCUGGGCAGUGGCUGAUAUAAGGCAGUUACUAGUUGUCACAAGUACUGUUCAUUAGGAGAGACCCUGAGAGCCAUUCAGAUGCUGUAAAAUCACUUUCAACAUCUAUGCUCUUUUCUGUCUACUCACCAUUCAUCUUGCAUAGGCAGAAGUAGAGAUGUUUCUAGCCUGUCUCUUCCACCUUGUUUUGAAGUUGGGCAGAUGUCUCCAUCUGUGUCCCCUUUGAUUGAUUUAUAGCUCAGGAAAUAUUUGCUGAGACCCUACUACAUGUGAGGAGAUGCCAGGUGAUGUGGGGCUUGUAGGUACAUCUAUGAUGUCCCUAGGGAACAUCUUGUUGGGUCACAAAUAUGAUGCAUUAAUGAUUCAUAACUGAAGAAAUGUCAUGAGAUCACACUGACAGAAGGAAUGAUGUGGUUAGCGAUGGCUGCAGCACGCAGAGCUGGAGACUGCAGGGGACUGGAGAAAGACCUUAUGGGGAAGGAGGGAGCUCAUUUAGCUUUGGGAGGUGACAAGGACAAGGACAUGGGUGAGGUGGGAGGUUAUUGGCAUUUACAGAAUCCCAAAUGUUGAAAGGUCAAGACUUUUUAAAUGGAGGUGAUUAACAGCCAGGAAACAUGGAGGAGAGGACUUGAGGAUACGAUCUGGGCCCUGUGAUAACUAGAGCCCUCAGGAAAGGGGACUAGGGCUCAUGAUGAGGGCCUUUGAGCCCUGAUUAAGGCCUUUGUUUCAUGGCAUCCACAUUGAGGAGCAUGUGGCAGCUUUGGAAGAGGGAGCAGGUAGUUUGCCACUUCAUUGUUCAUUUGUGCUUGGUGCAAGGGCCAAACAGAUGAACUACAGACAGAUCUAUCCUUCCUCUAGCCUGGUAGUUUCACUGCAGCUGUAGUGGAAUCUUGGUGGCAUUGUACCCAUGCAGUGGAGGAAAAGGCUGAAAACCGGGAAUGGACUGAAAUGGAGUGGGAGAAAUUAAGAGGGGAGAGAUGCAAGGGUAAAGGUAAAAGAGGAAAGCAGCCUGAGGGGGGUGUGGAGAGGAGCUGCCUUGCCUUUCAAGAGGCUGCUUUUCUCUUUUUGAUGUAAAGACUACAGCUAGUCCCAGUGGAAGAAUUCUGCAGAAGGUUGAGAAUAUGGAACUGAACUAGAGCAAAGCCAGGGCCAAAUUCAGCCUGGGGAGGGUGGCAGUCAUUGAAGCCACUGAGGAAGAAGAAACUGGCUCUGAUGGGGUAGAGAACAUCCAGUGGAGAGGGUGAGGAGGAAGAGGGCGCUAGCUUAGGCACCAACCAGGCCUGGAGGCACAGUGAGAGCUGGGGCAGUCUGCAGGCUGGUUAUGGAUCAGCAAAGGAUUUGCAUCUUAAUGGACUCUGGGGCCUGUUAACUUACCUGUGAAAGUAAAUUAACAUUUUCUGCCUGGUCUGGUCCUUUCCUCCAGGUAUACUAAGUCAAAGGAGCAGGGAGAUGGGGCAGAAUGAGGCCUGAGGAAAGGACAUUGGUCUGACUGAGCUGUUUGGUGGGGACCCUCAAGAGGCCAGGAAGAAGCCUGCCUGCUGUAUGGUAAGCAUGGGAGACAGCAGGAGUUGGCCUCCUUCCCUGCCAGCAUCAAAGUUUGACAGUGAAAUGACAAAGGGAAAUCAGAGAGAACCAAAAUCUUUUAUCUCAGCCCCUAACUUGUUAGUUCCUAGUUCUUUCCAUGUCAGGAAUUGGCAACACCAUUAUUCACCUGGUUACUUAAUCCAGAGCCUAGGGGUCACCCUCCAUUCCUCUCCUUUCCUCUCUCACCGUGUCCUUUUUUGGGAGGAGGGAGGAGGGGGCACAGUUCUGGUUGAUUUCUGAAAUAGUGUCAUGAGUUGGUCUCUUUCAUUUCCACUGCUUUUUUUCUGUUCUAUUUCAUCCACUCUUGUGCUCUCUCUAAGCAGUGGCAUAGAAACUAGAGUUAUCUUCUUAAAAUGUAAUUCAGGUCACCUCCUUCUCAGGCUUCAAAUCCUUCAAGAGCUUUGGAUUGAGCUUGGAAUAAAAUCCAGCCCUCCUUUUUGGAAUGUGAGAUUCAAAGGUCUGACCCUGCCACCUCUGUAGCCUCUUCUUGCUCGACUCCACACUUUCUGUGCACACCAGUGUAUUUGUACAUGUUAGAAUUAUUCCUGACUUAGAGAUUUGGCAUAAGGUAUCUCCCUGCCUAUAGCAGAAAAGAGCUUGCCAGGUAGAAGAAACAGCCUGGCAAAUGGCCUAAGGCAAGAAAGACUAAGCUAGUCUUGUUUUAGAAUUGGAAGAUAGGCAGGCAGGCCUCAGUGGCUGGGUGGCUUGUUCGUGGAUGGCUGUGAGAACUGCAGAAAGGAGGUCACAUUGGCUUUCCAGGUGCCCUAGAAGGUACAGCAGCAGGGCUUGUACUUCCACAUGGGGUAGGAGUCUCAUUAUGGGAUCUCGUAAGGAGUUGGAAGACCAUCUGCCAAGACCAUAGAGGCUAUGAAAAAUGGGCACAUUCCUUUUGCUUUCUAUGACAGCUCUUGAACUUCGUGGAACAGUGCUAGCAAAGUUGUUGAGGAAAAUGUUCUAGUUGGAUGGCGUGGCAGGCAGGCAAGGCUGUGUUUCCAACUCCUGGGAUUUUGGGGAGACCUUAGAGGCUCUGACCUCUGUGGAGAACCCAAAUAACAGAAGCUCCGUUUCUGUGCGAGGAAGGAGCUAGGCCGCUGGAGGCCAAGCUGCUGGAGCUGGAAGCUGGAUUUGGUAAGUUGACACAUAUCUUCUUGCUGUCUCCUAAGUUGGGAGGUGAAGACCAAGGAGAAAGAUGGUUAAAUAAAAGGUCAAGGUCAGCCUCUCCAAGUGGCCCUACCAAUUGUAUUCUUGGAACUGAAGCAGUCAGAGUGGUGCAAGGAGUAGCAAGAGUACAGGAGAGAGGCACCUGGUUGUUUUCUGGAGAGAUGUUCCUUGGGCAAGGCUGCAACUAGUGAGUGUCAUGUUAGACCUGUAGGGAAAACUACUCCAUUUUCCUUCCCUGUGUUACUAUGUUAGGAGAAGAUGGAAAGAGCUUCAGUUUGGGGAUGAAUUUCACCUUUUUAGCCUCUAAGGCCACCAUGAUAGUUCUUGCUGCCAUGUGAUGAAAAUUUGGGGGAUCAUUUUUUACCAGAUUGUAGAUGAGAGUCCUGUUGGCUUUACAGUCACAGACCCUGGUUUGGGUGGUCAAACAGACUCAGUUCAAAUCCCAGCACUGCCAUUUGCCAGCUGUGGGACUUUGGUAGGCUAUUUAGCCUCUCUGUGCCUUCACUUUCUCAUCUGUCAAAUGGACUAUUCAUGGAAAGAACCUGCUCGGGGAAUGUGGUAUCUAACCCCUGUAAAGACGACUGCUUGGUGCCUAGGUAGCCAAACUCAUAACCCAAGGGCUGCUGCUGCUGCUCCUUUAACCAGUGCUUGUUUACAUGGUCAUGGUGUUGAUGACAACCCCCUGUGUCCUCCAGGAAUUUUAUUGGAUAGGGGACAAGUUCUGAACUGAAGAGCUCGCUACCGUCUUCCAACGACUCUUACCUGGUCCUCCUCUUCCCUGAAGCAUCCCUUGGUAUCCCUAGAACUCACCCCCUGACCUUUACAUACAUAGAUAAAAGAGGCAGAUUUGAAGAAUUGAAAUCAGAAAUAGCAGUUGCAACAGCCCUCACCUAUGAUCAUCUGAGACCAGAUGAACACAUAUGAAGCAAUAGGAUUGAAUACAAAAAGUGUAUGAAGUGUGACUACAAAAUAAUAGCCAUUUGCAAGUCAAAUGGUCUCUGAGUGUUCUCCCUCAGAUCAGAACCUUUGAGGGUAGUGACAUGCACUUCAGAAGUAUUCGAAAGAGUUGAGAGCCACCUUCAGAGGCCAUGUGUGUGUCCCACAAGCCAUGCACUGGUGAGGCUUUGCAGUCAGACCUCUCCUGGAUCCAAAAUGGGUUGAUUGUCUCUAGUCCCUACAUCAUUCAUUAGAUUGGGCUUUAAAUUUUUUUCUGCUUCCAAAAUAAUCCAAAUCCAUUAUCAGGGGAUGAUAAUUUGUCUUUAUUCAUGAAACUCAAGAGAAUAUUCUGUAGGCUUUUUAAGAAAUUAGCAGAUUUUAUAAAAUGUUUUGAACAAUAACAGCAUUGUUGGAAUAAGUAUUGUCCUAAUGGGACCUUUUUGAAGAGGAUCAUACUUAGUUGGGUAGGUGAAUUCUUGUGGCUUGUUAGGAAUUAUUUAUAGUGUAGUCAUGCUUUGUGGUAAUGGAGUGCUGCUGACAGUAGCCACUGGCAGAGUUAGAGAAGACAGAUGGCCAGUGGUGGCCCAGGAGCUCUGAUGCAGAGGACUUUUGGUCUGAACCCCUUCCACUUCUAGCUAUGUGGCAUAGGGUGGCUACCUCUAGGUCUUAAUUUCCUAUGCCUUAAUGGGGAGAAUAAUGUCUAUCUUGCUCCUAACAACCGAGGAAGAACAGAUACAAUUAUGACUGUGAAAGCACUUGUAAAUGUAGACUCAACAAGAGAUUUUAGUCAUAACACAGUGAACUGUGACCUGGGACAAACACUUUCAUCUCUGUACCCACUUCCAUAUCUGUAAAACAGAUAACAUGAACCAGUUCUGUUGAUGUUACAGUGCUAUUAUAAGGGUGAAAUGAAUUGAUCCACAUGGACAUGCUUUGUAAAUGUGUGUGCUGUGUUCACGUUAGUCAUUAAUGCUUCCAGGGAACACACUGGGCAUUAGUAUUCUACAUGAGGGGGAGCUUCAUGAAGAAAGUGGUCAUGGAAGGGUGAACAGAGAGUUGGAGAAGAGGCAGAGAAAUGACGAACAUUUCUAGCAAAUCUUAGUGGCCUUUUUCAGUCCAUCUCUUUGUCUUUUCACCUGUCUCUGGUUGCCAUGACUAAUUCCUUCCUGUCUCUUCUUCUCUCUUCAAGUGAGAUGUUCUUUACUGUUCCACCCUUGCCCUUCUACCUCCAACUCAGAUCGUUUGUGAAGCACUUUCUAUGAGCCACAGCUUGGAGGAGACACGGGAAUGUGAUCAGAGGGUGUGUGUGGGCCUCUGCAGUUGCUCCCUAGAAACAAGGUGGAUACCCCUGCUGCAUCUAACAAGAUAACACAGGGUUACAGAGGGAGAGUGUUGUCUUUGGGGAAGGCUUUUUGUAGGUGCACCUCUCUGAGGUGGUUGUGAGAAACAAAUCAGAUUUUGCUAGAAGGCCAAGGGGCAGAAAGUGGGACAUUCUAGGUAGGAAAGACUGUGAAGGGAAGACAGUGCAGCUUCACCUGUUUUCUCUGAAUGAGUGAUUGCCAGAAUAGCUUUUCUUCUCAACAGCAAUCCAGUUCCAUUCCUUCAACUGUCUGCCAACAUUCUUUCACAGGUGUUUAUGGUCCUUCACUUUAAACCAACAGAUAAUAGUUAAAGACACAAACAUGUUACCCUUCCUGCCCCAAAACCUGCCCUCUCUUUGCUUGCUUGUAGUUCCUUUAAUCUCCCAUUCUCCACUCAAACCUGGAUUAUCUUUGUCUCUUGCUGCCUUGUCUUGUCUGUUCUUACUCAUGCAUAUUGUAAUCAUCACUGAUGCUAACUUCCUAUUGUCUCUUACUUUCUUCUUAAUCCUGCCAGAACUCUGAACUACACUGGAGAGUGGGCCACUUAGAAUGUCAGGAUGUCCCAUACCUGUCUGUACCAAGGAAGUGCUGUUUGGAUCCAUCUGCCCUUGGUGGGGUGCCCUCGGAGCCCACCUGGAGGAAGCCCCUCUCUGGCCUUUCUGGCUUUCUCUUUCAGUACACCUUCCUGUUUCUCUGUAGUUCUCUGUGUCAGCUUUGCUCUUUCUUUCUUGUCUUUCAUUCUUCAUGCAUUUUUCUAUUUUAUUAAAUUGGAUUUUCUUUGGAAUCAGACAGACUUGAGUUUGGAUCCAAUUUUACAGUUUGCUGUGUAACUUUGGGCAAGUUACUAAAUCCCACUGUACCUCAGUUUUCUUAUCAGAAAAGCAGGGAUUAAUAAUGAGACUGUCUUGAAAGGCCUACCCCUUCAUCCUACCAUGAGGAUGAGCUGAGACAAUUAUGUGACAUGCUGCUGGCCUGGCACAUGCCACACAGGUUAUCAUGUUUUAUUACUGUGCUCUGAUAAUAGCUUUGUGUGUGUGUGUGUGUGUGUGUGUGUGUGUGUGUGUGGUACUGGAGAUCAAACCUGUGGCCUCACAUAUACUAGGCAAGCACUGAACUAUGCCUCCCAGGUGUAUCUUUUUUAAAAAUAUAUUUCCUAGCCUUAUUUCUUCCUCCUUCUGUGAAUUUCUUUUUGUUUAUCUUUUAGCCCUUCUCCUUCCUCUAUUUUUUUCUUAACUGCCUAAGGUAUACAACUAUUAAAAUAUUGCUUAUAUUUGAAUAGAGAUCAGGUUCCCUAAUCUAUGUUUAAAAAUCAUAUUGGGAAGCUUCUUGUUUCUCUCUUUAGUAGACUCCACUCCCCUGCCCUUCCUCAGAGAGCCAGGCCCCAAGCACCCCCUCCCUUCUUCAGACCAGACCGCUGAGCCCUUUGUGCUGAAAUAUCAUUCCAGUAUGUCCAUUUUUCAAUAGUCAUAAACAGUUCAGACAAAGUAUGUUUCUGUGAUUUCCUUUGAGUCCUGGGCCACUUCACAGAGGUCUGUAGAAUAAAUUAACUGCAGAAUUUAAAAAGCCAGCCGUCAGGGCUGUGUACAUGUUUAAAAGCCCGAGACCCUCUCAGGCAGCUCCACUGCAAGCUCUGGGCAGGCCCACUUCCACCCCACCUCAGUCCACUUCCUCUCCUCGGAACCAGGAUGUUUUUCCUUGCCUUUUCAUUGUUUCACUAACCUGGCGGGUCUCCUUUGGUGGAGCCCUGCACCAGCUUCCUCUCUGGGUGUGAGUGAGCCUUACAGUGGCAACACAGGAACCUGGAGGCCUGCUCCUGCCUAUGCCUCUCCUGCACUCACAUUGCUAGCCUGGCAAGGCUGGAGGCUGUGGCCUCAGGUGCCCUUCACUGAGGACACUCCUUUUCAGCCACUCUGUUGGGUGUCUAUUUUUCAUAGAUGGAGAGGGACGAGGAAAAUGGAGGCAGCAAGUUAGGUGCUCCCUAGAAAUGAGGUGGACAGCCCUGCUGCAGACUGCCUGUGCCUUCAACUAACUGAACAGGGCUCUUUUGAUCUUCAACCCAAUGGUUUUUUUCUUAAGGGGAAAAAGACGCAGAAAAACCAAGUACACAAAACUGUGGGAUUAUUUUUAAAGUAGAGUUGAGGUCACAUCUAGGUCCCUCAUCUUUCCCUCUGGUCUGGGGAGGCUGUGUCGCUCCUUAGUUUAUCGAGGACACCUCAGGGCUGGUUCUGUUUCUGUAAGGCUGAGCCCGGACUCGCGCUCCAGGCCUCAGUGUCCCUUGCCUCAGUCCUACAGAUCUGUUUGUCCCAAGAGAUAGGACAGGUUGCUUUCCACUGAACAAAAACCAGCUCCCUCACCAGGAGGAGAUGACGGUGUGCCUUGUAAUAUCUACCCUCUUUAUCACUAGAGCUGUUGCAGGGGAAGCUUUUUAAAAAUCUGAUCAUCAUACCUCAAGUCCAAACAUUUCACAGUGUAUGUAGUUUUUUAUAGGGCUGCUCCUUUUUAGCAUAAGAACAAGGAAGGAAACAAAACUCCCUGAGAGCCCUGCACAGUUUAGAUCUAGGGCUGAAUCUUUUGUUCACACAAGCGUAUUUGGCUCCUAAAUGUCCUCCACCCAAAAUCAUUACAUCCGCGGCAGCAUUUCAAAACACAGCCCAUAGUGGCUGAGCCAAGUAGGCAGCUGCCUUUCUGGGGAGAUCACAGCCACUUUCCCCCCAUACCCCUGAGGUUCCUACCUGCCAAGAAUAUCCCACUCCUGGCCAUCCGGCUGAAUUCCGCCUCUCAGGCCUCCUAGGGGAAAGGCUUCCAAGGCCUCUGCUAGAGAAGGGCCUCCACUGCCUAGAGGCAGCUGUGGAGGAAGGAUGGGCUUCCACUCAGCCUUUAGCCUUGCAAGCCCCAGGGCACAGUCUGCCUCUCUGGGCUACUUCUCACGCUUCAGAGGCAUCAUAAGGAAUGAUUUUCUUGGUUCAGCUACCUGGAAGCAGAAAGCUCCUUGAGGCAAGUUCCAUAUCUAAUUCAUCUUUGUACCCUACGUGCACACACACACACACGUGCGCGCAUAUGUGUGAGCAAAAACAUACAGUAUUUAAAAUUUAAAAGAUUACAGUAAGAGACACAUUGCUAUUGACUCCCCCACCCAGAUCUCCCUCUUGCUUCAGACACUGAUCCCAUCAUUCUUGACACUUUCUGUAGUUCUGGAAGUCUUCUUUUUGUGCUGUUAUGUCUGCCUCAGUGUCCUAUAUCCAAAUAGUGUACCUUUCAUGGUCAUUUUGACUUCAGGGAAGAGUCAGAAGUUGCAUGGUACUGCAGUGUUUUUACAUGCCUGCCUUUCCGUUGGAUGGUAGUCGGCAGCAGCAUUCACAAUACUUGCAAUCAUACCUCAUAAAGACAUUCACAAAGCAGGGCUCCCACAACUGUUUCAGAAAGUAGCAAGAACACUGGGCUAAGUAUAUAGGGGGUGUAUUUUGAAGGAGAUUAAUGACAGCAUGUCUUUUACUGUAAUAACACUGCUUGUAUAUCAUGACAGAUAACACAUAACAUAAAAUCUACCAUUUUAACCAUUUCUAAGUGUUCAAUUCCACAGCCUUGAGUACAAUCACAGCAUUACAGCCAUCACUACCAUUUGUUGCUAGAAAUUCUUCAUCAUCUCCAGUACUCUUUAAGUGGGAAGUCCUCAUUUCUCCUUGCCUCUAACUUCUGGUAAUCUCUGUCCUGUUUUCUGUUUUUAUGAUGUUUCUAUUCUAGGUACCUCAGAUAAGUGGAAUCUUACAAUAUUGGUCCUUUUGUGUCUGGCUUAUUUCACUGAUAUUUUCAGUGUUUCUCCCAUACUAUAACCUGUGUUAGAAUUUCACUCAUUUUUGAGGCUAUAUAAUAUCCAGUUGUAUGUAAAUAUGUUUUUUUAUCCCUUCAUCUACUGAUUGACACUCAGUUUGUUUUCAUCUUUUGACUGUGGUGAAUAAUGCCACUGUGUAUGUGGGUAUAUGAAUAUUGGUUUGGGUCUUUGCUGUCAGUUUUUUUUAACUCAGAAGUGAAACUCUGGAUCUUAUGUUUAAGCUGAAGUACUGCCAUAGUGUCCCUGUGUGGCUGCGCCAUUUACAUUCUUACCAGAAAUGUUUGAAGGUUCGAUUUCUCCACCCCCACCAGCCCUUGCUGUUUUCCUUUUUCUCUUUUUUGACAGUAGCUGUCCUAAUGGAUGUCAAGGAAAAUAUUUUUUGAAUUCCCAAAUAUCACUCACAGGAUGUAUGGUAGAUUUGGAACUAUUACCCUCCUGAGCUUUCGUCCUAUCAUCUUAGGGUCAGACUAGUUGGUUCCUCUGAUCCCUAAAGGUGGCAGUCACCUUUGGAGGGGAUGAGGGUCAUCAAAAGCAACCCAGCCAACUUUGGCAAGAAUGAAUGGAGCAAAGCAGGGUGAAUGCUGGCUAAUGAAGCAUGCCACAUGACAUGAAGUAGUACAUGACAGGAAGUAGCUUCUGCUCAGCCCUCACUGGUUUCCAUCUGAGUGUGGUUAAUUGGAAAAGGCACCAAAAAUUCAAGAGCUGGGUUCUAGUUGCUGCUCUGCCACCUGUUUCUGGGUUAGCCUGGGUGGGUAACUUCAGUACUAAACCUCAGUCUUCUCUGCAGUAUGAAGGCCUUCUUGGUCUCCACUCAGAAUGUCAGGAUCUAAAAAGAUAAUUUAGGCCCCCUAAAAUAUCCUGUAAAAAGUGCUUUACAGAUUGGAAAGAGUGUAGGAUUUCUUUAUUGGAUCUCUGAGAAUAGAAGCAUAAUUUCAUCCUCUUGGAAGCACCUGUGAACAAUGUUCUGCUUCUCUUCAGUCUGCAGGCCAUCCAUCAUACUGAAAGGAAGCAAAAAGACAGGGGGCUAAAAGUCUCUCCCUACUUUUAAGGACUCUUUUCUCCAUUCCCUGGAUGAACAGUUAAAUUUUAGGAAAAUCUCUAAAAAUUGCAGAGAAACCCACUUUCCUAGGUUUAAGAAUCUACUGCUGGAUAUAUAGCAGUGUAGGGACAAAGCACCAACCCCAAAGUUCUGCGAAGGUUCUUCAAGUUCAGGAUCCCAGGAAAGCCCCAAAGGGAGGCAGGACUUGCAUAGCUGGGGAAUCACUGUAUUGUUCCAGAGUCUUUUCUCGUGAGCUUUAACCCUAGCAAUGUGUGACCUUCACCGUUCAUCUACCAAGCCACAUCCUGGAAAGGCCUAGGCACUUCCCUGCCUCAUCCCUGGCCUCCUCUGCAGCCCUUCAGCAUUCAUUGCCUUCCUCUUUGCUGACCCCUACUUUAUUUUCACUCUGUCAUUCUGCCUCUCCUCCUGAUUCAGAUUUUCCCUUUAAUCAGUCCUUGAUCCUCAAUUUUCCCUUCAUAUGCCAUCUCCCAUCCUUCCUCCUAAUCAAUAAUCCUAAAUCUUUAAUUUGCCUAUUGGAUAUUUUUCACCCUACACUUCACAUUUUGUAAACAGAUUUUUCUUGUUUCCCUCAAACUUGCUUUCCAUUCUAUCUCUCCCUUCCUUUAUAAUCAUUCCUUUCGGUACGUGCAUAAAAAUCAUCUCUGCCUUCAUUUAGAAGUCCUCUUGCUCAUUCUUCCAGCUAAUAACAUGCAGCUGUUGCCAGACCAAGUCUGUCUAAUUCCAAAGCCCAUGUGAUAGGCACCGUUUCAUUCUGCUAAGGAAGAAACAAGGUCAAUGGAGUUAGUGUUUAAGGAGGAAGUUUGAAGGCCAAUGGAACUCUUUGGCUCUGCUCUACUGGCCAGCACCCCAACGCUGCAAGGAAUAAGAUGAAGUGUAGUGGAACGAGACCUAGGUUCAAAUCAUGUCUCUGCUGCUGGUGAGGCCGUGACCUGAAACAAUCACUUAAUUUUCUACCCCUGAGUUUCCCCAUGUACUGUAAAAGGAUAAUAUUACCCACUUGAGAGAGCUGUCAUGAAUAUUAAAUAAUACAUAUGAAAACAUUUAACACAUGGUAAGCAUUGAAUAGAUGUUUGUAAAACUUGAACUCAGAUGGAGGGGCAUGAAUAUAAAGGGCUGGUCCUUCAACUCUGUGCCCCAGAGAAACAAGCAUGUAGUUGGCAGCCCCUGACAUCUGAUCUGGCCCUCUGCAGCACUUGUGAGGGAUGGGGUGGGGUGGCCCUCGGGGAGGAAAUUGCCUCUUUGAACGAAGCAGCACACUUGCUCUACUCUCCCCUUCACUGCUGAGAAACAAUGCAAGCUGAAAACCCCCGAAUCACUAGGGGCUGGCAAGAGCUGACUCUGUAGCAGCUGCUAAUUAGGAAAUCUUAUUCCCGGCUGUGUUAGCAUCCCUGAUGAUGCUGGUUUACAAACAGAUGUUUUGGAACAUUAAGAUGCUAUAGAAGGGGAAGUUGUCAACUUGAGGGAAAAGAAACCAAGCAAAGCAAUGAAACUCUUGUUAAUUUCCAUUCAUGUUACAAGGGAAAGUUAUGGCCUGACAUAGGAGCAGAGGGAAGGAUGGUUUUUCAGCUCAAAAGAAACCUGAGAAAUGGGACCUGCCAGCUCUAGUAUGUGGCUGCUUGCUGUGGCUCAGUUGCCGUGGUCUGUCACUGGGGUUUGAAUUAUCAUCUCUGACCACUUGGGAACUGGCCUGCGGAUGGGUGUUGAGUAGCCCCAGCCUCCCCUCAGACUUUGGGACACAGCCCCUCCCGAAGGACUCCCCAGAAAUAUCUAGUGGGGCACAGCCUUUUUCUGACACCUCACAGUUGGUCCUCCAAGCUCUGCAGCUUGAGACAGGUUUCUCCCUUCCAUGUCUCCAAAGCUAUCUUUCUUCUCCCCUCAGAGUAAAAGCAGGCCCCCUGAUAACUUCCCCAGCCUGUGGUAGGUCCCAGUGGGGUCCUGUCCAUUUUACUCUGAAUUACUAUCCCACUCAGAGUUCACUCUGGUGCUGAGAAGAAGCCAUGGCAUAAGCAAAACUCAUCCACAGUAGACUUAAAGAACUCAGAGCUUGAAAGGACCAGUCCUUUGAGCUUAAUAAAUAUUUUAGUGUUAGAUACAUCAUUCUUCCCAAGAUGCAACAGGAAAUCGUGUAAGUCAUUUGGAUGUAACAAGACCUCAGGUAGCACUGGGAGUGGGCUGUGGUGCUGCCUGGCCCAGCCUGUGUGGCUUUAAUCCCUCCUCUAAGGAAGAUUUCAUAGGCAGUCAACGAAUCCAGAGGACACCCAGAGUUAAAUAUGGGGCUGUGGGACACUUUUGAAAUCCCUGGCCAGUAACAUGCUGGAGGUGGCUCCAGUCCCACCCUGUGCCCAGAAGUUCUUGUACCUCCUAGGAGCGGUGUCAUGAGCAGAACUCAGUAACGCACAAGCUGUUCUAGGAGCCAUGUGGCCAGCCUCAGUCCUUUGAUCAAAGUGGACUCCCAUGAGCUUCAGACAUUUAUAGCUAAAUGGAUGGACCUUGAGACUAUACUCUUAAGUGAAAUAAAUUGGACACAUAUGUUUAAAUACCACAUUAUUUCUCCAGUGUGAGAAACUGAAUGUGGAAAUAAGGACUGAGAUAUAGAAUGGAUGUUGGGAAAUGGAAAGAAAGUGUUCAAAUGGGAAGGGGAACAAGGGAGGAGGGAGGGAGAAAGUAGUGACAAGAAAAAAAAAAGAAAAUAGAAAGGAAAAAAUGUAAACAAAGCUUUUGUACAUAAGGAGGGAAGGGGGGGAAUGGGAAAAUAUAAAAUUUAGUUUUUUAAAAAGUGGACUCCUAGCUUCCAAGAGGGCCCUGAAUGAACACAGGUAAUUUCAGCUCUGCUACCAGCACUGAUCAGUUGCCUGGAGAAGGAUUGGGAGACUGAGUCAUGACUGAUUAGUAGUGCCUGCCAAGGAAGAUUGUCACCAAAUGUGUUUGUUAAAAGCUGAUCACCCAAAAUCUGUUUGGUAGCCAUAACAUAUGUAGCACUCACUGUGUAUCAAGUAGUGUUCUAAAAUCUCAGAUCUUCACAAACAGCCCAGUGAAGUAGGUACUGUUACUAUCCCUGUCUUCCAGCUGGAACACCAGGGUACAGAGAAAUUACAUGUACAAGAGGACAUGUAAGUGGUAGAGCCAGAAGUGUAACCCAGACAGUCUGACUUUAACCACAGGCUGGCAUUACCCACUGUCCUUUUGUUAAGAUCCAAAUUUCUACAUCCAGACAGAAGGCUAGAAGCAGAUUCAUUUCCUUUAUACAAAGAAAACAGAUUCACAAGGUAUGGGUAAAACAAGCAACUUAUUAACAUCACCUCCUUUAUUCCUGAGGGAAGAAAGGGACAGAUCUCCAGGAAAAGAGAUACACUAAACUUAACACUGUAGUUGCCACCAAUCCAGGUAUCUGUGGUACCCACUAACUAAGAAGAGGAUAGAGUAUAACCACAGACCAGCAGGUCUCUUGUCAGCAGAGUCCAGCAGUGGCACCAGUGACCAAGUGUGUCUCUCUGCUUUGCAGAGCUGGUUAUUGGCCACCUCUCUCUGACCAGGCCAUCAGUUAGUUAUAGCUGCAAUGUGUAAUGACAGAGGUUAGGCAUCUGGGGGCCAAGUUCCCUGUGCAUAACUAACCCCAUCAGUCCUUCACGUGUCUCAUCCAAAGCCACUCACAUGCUUAUGUUUCAGAAAUGUCAUGGAGUUCACCCUGCCUACAUCAUUAUUGGCAGUUUCCAAGAGCUACUGUGUAUUUAAGGUCUUUAGACUUCACCUGCUUAAGACGAGGCAAUCUGGGGACCAAGGAAAGCUCCUACUGCCCAACCAUUUUUGUUCUUUUUCCUAGGAGUGUGUGUGUGUGUGUGUGUGUGUGUGUGUGUGUGUGUGUAUUUAAAAACAUCAGAUAAUACCAUUUUGUAACUUACUGUUGCAACUAAUGUAGGGUGGGCAUAUCAGUAAUAUUUUUGGUUAGCCCUUUAAAAUUUUGUUUUAUAAUUAAUCACCUUCCUAAUUCAGAAAUUUAGGUUAUUUCCAAUUUUUAUUAUUAUAAACAUGGCUUUGGUAAACUUCCUUGUAUCUAACACUUUAUGUACUUCCUUAACAACUACCUAAGAAUUAAUUUCCAGAAAUGAAAUUAUUAGAUCAAAAUGUAUGCCUGUUUUUAAGAUUUUUGCAAUAGGUUACUAAAUUUUUCCUCAGAAAGCCUGUGCCAAUCACUGUACAUUCUUACCAACAUUGUAUGAAAGUGUCCAUUUUCUGUACCUGCAAUGGUAUAUUAUUUUAAAUAUUUGCCACAUUGAUAAAUAAAUACAAAUGUAAACUCUUUCCUAGUUCAAAUUUGUAUUUCUUUGCUUUUUAACAAUACUUUCAUGUAUUUAUUCUCCACUUACAUAUUUUCCUUGGUGAAUUGCACAUUCAUGUUGUCUACAAGAUGUAGAUGUCAGGGAUUUUAAAAGUUGUCAUAUUAAAGAUCCUAACACUUUUAUAAGGCUCUACGGGUAUUUACUAUGGUGUGUUAUUUGACAUUUGAAACAUUUAGUUUUUAUUUGUAUUAAAGUCACAAAGAUCAAGUAGAUUUUACAAGAGUGUUACAAAAACCCUGACCACUCCACUGUAAUUUUCUGUUCCUCAGAAUCAACCCAUUUUCAACUCUUUUAAUUGACUCAUUUAGUAAUUUUGACC
ensembl:lncRNA